UACGUAGGGGGCAAGCGUUGUCCGGAAUCAUUGGGCGUAAAGCGCGUGUAGGCGGUUCGGUAAGUCUGCUGUGAAAGUCCAGGGCUCAACCCUGGGAUGCCGGUGGAUACUGUCGGACUAGAGUACGGAAGAGGCGAGUGGAAUUCCUGGUGUAGCGGUGAAAUGCGCAGAUAUCAGGAGGAACACCAAUUGCGAAGGCAGCUCGCUGGGACGUAACUGACGCUGAGACGCGAAAGCGUGGGGAGCAAACAGG
rnacentral:rRNA from 1 species